rnacentral:rRNA from 1 species
AUGCAUGUCUAAGUAUAAGCACUUGUACUGUGAAACUGCGAAUGGCUCAUUAAAUCAGUUAUCGUUUAUUUGAUCGUACCUUUACUACAUGGAUACCUGUGGUAAUUCUAGAGCUAAUACAUGCGUAAAAGUCCCGACUUCUGGAAGGGAUGUAUUUAUUAGAUUAAAAACCAAUGCGAGUUAACGCUCGUUCCUUUGGUGAUUCAUGAUAACUUUUCGAAUCGCAUGGCCUAGCGCCGGCGAUGUUUCAUUCAAAUUUCUGCCCUAUCAACUGUCGAUGGUAAGGUAGUGGCUUACCAUGGUUGUAACGGGUAACGGGGAAUUAGGGUUCGAUUCCGGAGAGGGAGCCUGAGAAACGGCUACCACA